rnacentral:rRNA from 1 species
UACGUAGGGUGCAAGCGUUGUCCGGAAUUAUUGGGCGUAAAGAGCUCGUAGGCGGUCUGUUGCGUCGGCUGUGAAAACCCGGGGCUCAACUCCGGGCCUGCAGCCGAUACGGGCAGACUAGAGUUCGGCAGGGGAGACUGGAAUUCCUGGUGUAGCGGUGAAAUGCGCAGAUAUCAGGAGGAACACCGGUGGCGAAGGCGGGUCUCUGGGCCGGUACUGACGCUGAGGAGCGAAAGCUAGGGGAGCGAACAGG